rnacentral:rRNA from 1 species
GCGUGGGUGAUGAAGCUCUGAGGAGUGUAAAGCCCUGUUAGGAGGGAAGAAAAUCCGGUUUCCCGGAAAUGACGGUACCUCCAGAGAAAGCUCCGGCUAACUCCGUGCCAGCAGCCGCGGUAACACGGGGGGAGCAAGCGUUGUCCGGAUUUACUGGGCGUAAAGCGCGUGUAGGCGGGAAGGUUAGUCAGUGGUGAAAUCUUGCGGCUUAACCGUAAAUGUGCUGCUGAUACUGCCUUUCUUGAGUACGGAAGAGGGAAGUGGAAUUCCUGGUGUAGCGGUGAAAUGCGU